UAAAAAUUGUAAAAAAUUGUAAAAUUUAUAUUUUGCGGAUUUGUUUUUGGUACAAAAUUCGCAGUUUUUGAUGGUUUUUCGUAUUUUUUAUCGUAUUCUUUCGAAGUUAUAAUAUUAUUUUUACCGUUUUUAUAAUUGGAAUAUUUGUGAGUAUCCGUGGGUUUUAUUUCCGUGGAUUUUCCGUAUUUUUUUGGCGUAAUUACCGUAUUUAUUCUUAUUAAAUUUCGGUAUAUUAAUAAAAGGUUUCCGUUUCCGUUUAUUGUAAAAAUAACCCGUAUUUUGUAAUAUUAUAUUUUCGUAAUUUAUUCUUGGUUAAACGCGUCGGCCUUACCGUUUUCCGUUUUUUUCCGGUAAAUAAUUUUCAAAUGGAAUUUUAACAAAAACUUCAAUUAUUUAAUUUAUUGUUUAUUUAAUAUUUUAUUAUUAAUAAAAUGGGAUGGGGUUUUAUAAUUUAUGUAAAUUAAUAUUUCGUAUUUAAUUUUGGAUAAUUAUGAUUUUCAUUUUUUGAAUAUUUGAAUAAUAAUUAUAAUUUUUUAUCGUAAAUUUGGUAAUUAAAUUUUGGUUUAUAUAAUAUUUGGAAAAGAAAACGCAAAAAUGCAAUUUUUAUUUUUUUCGUUUCGUUAAUUAAAUUAUUUUCCGAUCGCGUAAUUUAAUAUAUUGGUUUUAAUUU
rnacentral:sRNA from 1 species